UGGGAUUUCUAGGAAGAGCUGUGUUCCUAUUUAUGAUUCAUGUUGGAUGAGACUCUAAGAACUGAAGAGGAGUAAUCAGGCAUAAACCUCAACCCUUCGGAGGCUAUUGGCUGCCCAUCAGCACUGCAAAUUUUGGGUACUCUACUUUGGGUACCCAAACAGAUAUUGAGAGCACCUCUGAGGAUGGGCAUCCUCAUUUACCAUGAGCUGGAACAUUCCCCCACUGAGUUC
rnacentral:lncRNA from 1 species